rnacentral:lncRNA from 1 species
AACCCAAGAAGUCAGUUUCAUUUUGCUGAUGAUUGAAGUGUGAUACAGCACCAGGAUCUAUACACGGAGACCUAAGUUGUAAGGAGAAUCACUGACCUGCUGCAACUUACUGCAUCUUUCCUGGAAGUGAAGUUCAUUUUCUGUCAAAGAGAAAAAGAGAAGUCCUGUGAUGUGAUAAGAAAAAGAAGAAAAAAAGCACCUGCCUCUUAUCCUGGCCAUGCUUUUACUUCAGGUCCUGCAGAACAGAGAGGGGAUCCUACUCUGUACCUCCAGGCAGCUAGUGGGGUGAAUGGAUUCCCAGUGUCAAAGGCUGAAGUUCUAAUUAGAAUCCUCUUUCUAGAAGGCUUUUGGACGUGGCAGGAGUGUAGUGAAGAGGCUAAAAUUAUAGUCUACAGUAUCACAGACAAACCUCAGUUCAAAGAAAAGGUUCUAAGAUGCUGCUAUAGCACUGAUGAUGGUGGUGAUCAUGGAGGAGGAUGAUAGUAGAGAAAAAUGAAGAUUUGGCCAUCCAAGAUUUAAACCUUCAGUGUCCAAACACCAGGAGGUGCUAUAAGAUAACAUUAAGGAACAAGUACACCUGCCC